GGUGCUAAAAUCUUAUGUGUCAAGGGCAUUGUGAUGGCGCGAUCCAUGUCUCCUGCUAGCGCUCGACGUCCCGUAGCCCCAAAGAGGAGGGCUCCAAGGUACUUUUGAUUGAAUGACUUAAUUUUUUCUCCUAUGUUGUGCUAGAGGACUAACUGAAACUAUGGCUCUGCUAUGUAUCAGGUUGGACAACAAGCUUCACUGGAUGAAAGCAUUUCCCUUCUAAAACAGAGUGCUGCUGAUAUGAAUGCACAAGUUAGUCUUGAUACUAAGAUGGUCAUGGAAUUGCUUGAUCUAUACUAGGUCAACAUGUCAGCCAACCACUUAAAAAUAAUCAUUUGCAUUUCUUCCUCUAAACUGUGAAACCUGACGAGUGAUGACGCAUCAGCAAUUUAGCAAUAGAAGAUGUCAGUGAACACGAGUGCCAGUCAAGAGCAAUGAAACGCUAGAUACUUUAGAGUGUAAUUUUAUAUAAGAAUAAAUAAAUGACACUUAAGUCAUUAAGCAAUUGUUGUUGAGGUAUUGUCUCACCCUUUAUCUGCUCUCUUUUAAACUGUGGAAUGCUAUGGGCUGGAGCUACAGGGGAGGAGGGAGGUAAGCGUGAAUGCAAUGAAUAUUGUUCGGAUAAAAAAUUGGGUGCAAACUGAGUACUGACGGUGAGACUUAUUCAUUUGUUUAUCCUUUUGCCCUUUUAAUCAAGAACAAUGUUCAGAGCUUACAUGGUUGCUGAAAUUUAAAUCUAUGAAAUAGAAAUAUUAAUACCAUACAAUGAUCAGUGCAGAGUAGGAUAGUUAUUGAGUUCUUCCUGAGUUUUCAUUGAGAAAAGAUUGGAACUGUGUGAUUUGUUCUGAACUUCUAAUACAAAGUAAAGAUGGUGUGCAUGGGAGGAGCUUGAAGUGGCAUUCCCAUGGAGGGAUGGCUGAUGGCAAGGCAAGUUUCUCUCAAUCCUUCUCCCCCCUUCACUCUUGAUGUCUAUCAGAAUAGA
rnacentral:lncRNA from 1 species